rnacentral:rRNA from 1 species
UGCGCAGGCGGGCUUGUAAGUCAGUGGUGAAAUACUGCCGCUUAACGGUAGAACUGCCAUUGAUACUGCAAGUCUUGAGUAUGGUUGAGGUAGGCGGAAUGUGUUGUGUAGCGGUGAAAUGCAUAGAUAUGACACAGAACUCCAAUUGCGAAGGCAGCUUACUAAGCCAUUACUGACGCUGAGGCACGAAAGCGUGGGGAGCGAACAGGAUUAGAUACCCUGGUAGUCC